UGCGUAGGCGGUCGGGUAAGUCUGACGUGAAAUCUUCAAGCUCAACUUGGAAACUGCGUCGGAUACUAUUCGGCUAGAGGAAUGGAGGGGAGACUGGAAUACUUGGUGUAGCAGUGAAAUGCGUAGAUAUCAAGUGGAACACCAGUGGCGAAGGCGAGUCUCUGGACAUUUCCUGACGCUGAGGCAAGCCAGGGGAGCAACG
rnacentral:rRNA from 1 species